rnacentral:rRNA from 1 species
GACGAACGCUGGCGGCGUGCCUAACACAUGCAAGUCGAACGGAAAGGCCCUGCUUUUGUGGGGUGCUCGAGUGGCGAACGGGUGAGUAACACGUGAGUAACCUGCCCUUGACUUUGGGAUAACUUCAGGAAACUGGGGCUAAUACCGGAUAGGAGCUACUGCUGCAUGGUGGGGGUUGGUAAGUUUCGGCGGUUGGGGAUGGACUCGCGGCCUAUCAGCUUGUUGGUGGGGUAGUGGCUUACCAAGGCUUUGACGGGUAGCCGGCCUGCGAGGGUGACCGGCCACAUUGGGAUUGAGAUACGACCCAGACUCCAACGGUAGGCAGCAGUGGAGAAUAGUGCACAAUGGGCGGAAGCCUGAUGCAACAACGCCGCGUGCGGGAUGACGGGCUUCGGGUUGUAAACCGCUUUCGCCUGUGACGAAGCGUGAGUGACGGUAAUGGGUAAAGAAGCACCGGCUAACUACGUG